AGACGAAUUGGGGAAAUGUUAAUGUACGACGAGGUGCAGGUAAAGCAUUAGAAGACGAGUCGUCCUGUCGUCCACGUGUGGUGAUGGCUAAUGACAAUUUGGGAAAGUUCAAAAUGGAUGCAAUCAUUUGACUCGCUGCGUUGGUCUUUAGCACAACCAUGUGGUUCUUAUCCUACGACACGUGUCCGUGUUCGACGGCGAACCAUUUGGGAUCGAUCGGUGAUUCUUUUCUCCUCCCGGUCAUUUACUAUUUAACCAAACACCACGACUCCUCGUUUUAUGUGGUAUGGUAAAUUCUUGUCAACGUUAGUUUCAAGACUAAUUUUGGUUCAUCUUCAUCUUGCUUUGGUUCAAC